rnacentral:rRNA from 1 species
GAUGAACGCUGGCGGCGUGCCUAAUACAUGCAAGUCGAGCGAACAGACGAGGAGCUUGCUCCUCUGACGUUAGCGGCGGACGGGUGAGUAACACGUGGAUAACCGACCUAGAAGACUGGGAUAACUUCGGGAAACCGGAGCUAAUACCGGAUAAUAUAUUGAACCGCAUGGUUCAAUAGUGAAAGACGGUUUUGCUGUCACUUAUAGAUGGAUCCGCGCCGCAUUAGCUAGUUGGGAAGGUAACGGCUUACCAAGGCAACGAUGCGUAGCCGACCUGAGAGGGUGAUCGGCCACACUGGAACUGAGACACGGUCCAGACUCCUACGGGAGGCAGCAGUAGGGACUCUUCCGGAAUGGGCGAAAGCCUGACGGAGCAACGCCGCGUGAGUGAUGAAGGUCUUCGGAUCGUAAAACUAUGUUAUUAGGGAAGAACAAAUGUGUAAGUAACUAUGCACGUCUUGACGGUACCUAAUCAGAAAGCCACGGCUAACUACGUG